CCUUCUAAGGCCGGACACCAGGUAUGUGCAUCGACCUCCUCAUCCCUUCCACUUGUGUGACUUCAGGCACCUGAAGCCCUAGAUCUGACCUAAAAAUUCUUGCGGUGGGAAAGGGGAACGCCGAAAUCAGCUUGAUUAGGUGGUACAGUAUUGGUGUUCUUUGUUUAAAGACCUGCUUAAAGAAUCUAGUAUGAUUUCUAAUCAAUAAGCAGCACUACCAGAGUAACAGCAGCACAUGGAAUAUCCUUGCGCAGUUUUAGAUUAGUUCCAUAGUGUUCUUUUU
rnacentral:lncRNA from 1 species